UACGAAGGGGGCUAGCGUUGUUCGGAAUUACUGGGCGUAAAGCGCGCGCAGGCGGUCUUCCAAGUCAGUGGUGAAAGCCCGGAGCUCAACUCCGGAACUGCCAUUGAAACUGUAAGACUUGAGGAUGAGAGAGGUGAGUGGAAUUCCCAGUGUAGAGGUGAAAUUCGUAGAUAUUGGGAAGAACACCGGUGGCGAAGGCGGCUCACUGGAUCAUAUCUGACGCUCAGGCGCGACAGCGUGGGGAUCAAACAGG
rnacentral:rRNA from 1 species